AUUGAACGCUGGCGGCAGGCCUAACACAUGCAAGUCGAGCGGUAGCACAGAGAGCUUGCUCCCGGGUGACGAGCGGCGGACGGGUGAGUAAUGUCUGGGAAACUGCCUGAUGGAGGGGGAUAACUACUGGAAACGGUAGCUAAUACCGCAUAAUGUCGCAAGACCAAAGUGGGGGACCUUCGGGCCUCAUGCCAUCAGAUGUGCCCAGAUGGGAUUAGCUAGUAGGUGGGGUAACGGCUCACCUAGGCGACGAUCCCUAGCCGGUCUGAGAGGAUGACCAGCCACACUGGAACUGAGACACGGUCCAGACUCCUACGGGAGGCAGCAGUGGGGAAUAUUGCACAAUGGGCGCAAGCCUGAUGCAGCCAUGCCGCGUGUGUGAAGAAGGCCUUCGGGUUGUAAAGCACUUUCAGCGGGGAGGAAGGCGGUGAGGUUAAUAACCUCAUCGAUUGACGUUACCCGCAGAAGAAGCACCGGCUAACUCCGUGCCAGCAGCCGCGGUAAUACGGAGGGUGCAAGCGUUAAUCGGAAUUACUGGGCGUAAAGCGCACGCAGGCGGUCUGUCAAGUCGGAUGUGAAAUCCCCGGGCUCAACCUGGGAACUGCAUUCGAAACUGGCAGGCUAGAGUCUUGUAGAGGGGGGUAGAAUUCCAGGUGUAGCGGUGAAAUGCGUAGAGAUCUGGAGGAAUACCGGUGGCGAAGGCGGCCCCCUGGACAAAGACUGACGCUCAGGUGCGAAAGCGUGGGGAGCAAACAGGAUUAGAUACCCUGGUAGUCCACGCCGUAAACGAUGUCGAUUUGGAGGUUGUGCCCUUGAGGCGUGGCUUCCGGAGCUAACGCGUUAAAUCGACCGCCUGGGGAGUACGGCCGCAAGGUUAAAACUCAAAUGAAUUGACGGGGGCCCGCACAAGCGGUGGAGCAUGUGGUUUAAUUCGAUGCAACGCGAAGAACCUUACCUGGUCUUGACAUCCACAGAACUUUCCAGAGAUGGAUUGGUGCCUUCGGGAACUGUGAGACAGGUGCUGCAUGGCUGUCGUCAGCUCGUGUUGUGAAAUGUUGGGUUAAGUCCCGCAACGAGCGCAACCCUUAUCCUUUGUUGCCAGCGGUUAGGCCGGGAACUCAAAGGAGACUGCCAGUGAUAAACUGGAGGAAGGUGGGGAUGACGUCAAGUCAUCAUGGCCCUUACGACCAGGGCUACACACGUGCUACAAUGGCAUAUACAAAGAGAAGCGACCUCGCGAGAGCAAGCGGACCUCAUAAAGUAUGUCGUAGUCCGGAUUGGAGUCUGCAACUCGACUCCAUGAAGUCGGAAUCGCUAGUAAUCGUAGAUCAGAAUGCUACGGUGAAUACGUUCCCGGGCCU
rnacentral:rRNA from 1 species